UACGUAGGGUGCGAGCGUUGUCCGGAAUUAUUGGGCGUAAAGAGCUCGUAGGCGGCUCGUCGCGUCGACCGUGAAAACCCGCGGCUUAACUGCGGGCUUGCGGUUGAUACGGGCGGGCUAGAGUUCGGUAGGGGAGACUGGAAUUCCUGGUGUAGCGGUGAAAUGCGCAGAUAUCAGGAGGAACACCGGUGGCGAAGGCGGGUCUCUGGGCCGAUACUGACGCUGAGGAGCGAAAGCGUGGGGAGCGAACAGG
rnacentral:rRNA from 1 species